CCAUACUGAAGUGGUUAGUUAACUAGUUAACAGACUAGUUAACAGACUGACCUGUCCCAUACUGAAGUGGUUAGUUAACUUGUAAAAAGACUAGUUAACAGACUGACCCGUCCCAUACUGAAGUGGUUAGUUAACCUGUAAAAAGACUAGUUAACAGACUGACCUGUCCCAUACUGAAAUGGUUAGUUAACUAGUUAACAGACUGACAUGUCCCAUACUGAAGUGGUUAGUUAACUAGUAAACAGACUAGUUGACAGACUGACCUGUCCCAUACUGAAAUGGUUAGUUAACUAGUUAACAGACUGACCUGUCCCAUACUGAAGUGGUUAGUUAACUAGUUAACAGACUAGUUAACAGACUGACCUGUCCCAUACUGAAGUGGUUAGUUAACUAGUUAACAGACUAGUUAACAGACUGACCUGUCCCAUACUGAAGUGGUUAGUUAACUAGUUAACAGACUAGUUAACAGACUGACCUGUCCCAUACUGAAGUGGUUAGUUAACUAGUUAACAGACUAGUUAACAGACUGACCUGUCCCAUACUGAAGUGGUUAGUUAACUAGUUAACAGACCGACCUGUCCCAUACUGAAGUGGUUAGUUAACUAGUUAACAGACUGACCUGUCCCAUACUGAAGUGGUUAGUUAACUUGUAAACAGACUGACCUGUCCCAUACUGAAGUGGUUAGUUAACCAGUAAACAGACUGACCUGUCCCAUACUGAAGUGGUUAGUUAACCAGUAAACAGACUGACCUGUCCCAUACUGAAGUGGUUAGUUAACCAGUAAACAGACUAGUUAACAGACUGACCUUUCCCAUACUGAAAUGGUUAGUUAACUAGUUAACAGACUGACCUGUCCCAUACUGAAGUGGUUAGUUAACUUGUAAAAAGACUAGUUAACAGACUGACCUGUCCCAUACUGAAGUGGUUAGUUAACUAGUUAACAGACUGACCUGUCCCAUACUGAAGUGGUUAGUUAACUUGUAAAAAGACUAGUUAACAGACUGACCUGUCCCAUACAGAAAUGGUUAGUUAACUUGUAAAAAGACUAGUUAACAGACUGACCUGUCCCAUACUGAAGUGGUUAGUUAACUUGUAAAAAGACUAGUUAACAGACUGACCUGUCCCAUACUGAAGUGUCUCUUGAAGGACCCGAACAGAUCGUAGAUCAGCACUGAUCCGUCCUCCUGAAUACACAGCAGCUCAUCAUUGACUGUCCAACCUAAAUGGACCACAGGACCGCUCUUCCACUGACAGGUGAGACGGGACAGGUGAGACAGAGACCGGUGAGACAGAGGGAUUACUACACAUUGCAGUACUAAACACUAAACAGUCCGGCAUGAUUUAACAGUAACGACCAGGUGAAUGAGGACUGUCUCUGAUUGGUUAACGAGGAACUGAAGAUUUACCGGGAAGCUGGUGAUGGAGGCUCCCGACGCAGAAUAGAUCUCCAGCUGAGGACGGGAACUGGGAGAACGUCUGAGGGGUUCUCUGAGGAGGGCUGAGAGACAGACAGAUAGAGACAGACAGACAGGUGUAGGGACACGUAGAGACAAACAGGUACAGACACGCAGAGACAGACAGGUAGAGACAGACAGGUGUAGAGACAGAGACAGGCAUUACCACCCACUCUGAACAGGUGUAUAUUAUAUUGUUUUGUAUAUUUCCGCCCGACUCUCGUUGUUAAUAACAGCGAACCUAUGGGUCCUCCAUACGGAGCAGCAGCCACCAGACUGUCUCUGAGACCGUCCUUCAGGGUCCAGCUCAUCUCGUACAGCUCCGUCUUCCUGCACACACACACACACACACAUUAACACACACACGUUAACGAACACGUUAACGAACACGUUACGUCACAGUGCAUCACGUUAGAUGCUGACGUCAGCUCGUUUAGUUCUGUCCCACCAGACUCCGUUUAAAAUGAUGCGACUUUAACUGCGGUCCUGAGAGCAGCUGGCAGGACGUCACCUGCUGGGUUGGAUUAAACGUGAUGACGUUAACACACCUGUUGCGAACAGGACGUAGCUGCUAACCGUUAAUGACGCGCACACACACACCGUGAUAUGACGUUUAAAGGUGUUCAGCAGGACGCUAACGGGCAGCUAACGCUCCGUUAAAACAGACGGGAGCUUGUGUUCACGCUGCAGGGACCUAGCGUUAGCAGUUAGCAUCCAGUAGCUACAGCUGGUACCUGACCGACACUCCGGGGAUACACUGACCGAUAAAAGGCUUCUCCCAGCGGGUUCCAGUCGGCUGUGAUGAACGCCAUGUUGUUUCCCUCCGGGGAGAUGAAGACGUCUUCAGGCCGUUGAUGAUGAUGAUGAUGAAGAGUCGCUGUUAGCUUUAGCUUCCAAUCAGUCAGCUGAUCGCUUCCACAACAGCUGCUUCUUCUUCUUCUUCUUGUUUCCGGCAGCCUAGACGCUCCUGCGGCGUGUUGCUGCCCUCCUCUGUUCGUUAUUCACAUCUUAACGCUGCUUGCCUGGAUCCUUUUGUAGAAACCAGUUUUAUGUCUCUAAACAGUUUCCUCCUUUGGCGAGAGUACUUCCUAAAAUGUACUAGUACACGCUUCACUGUUUCCUCGUCUCCACAUUUUCCAUCAGGAUGUUUCCCAGCCAGAGCCCAAACCUCAGUCUCUCGUCUCUUACAUCUAGGCAGGCACUUUUUCCUUUCUCUACAGGUCCUUCUCCCCUUCCUGUCGUUUCCCCAUGAUUUCUGCCACUUUUCUGUCACUGACCUAUUUAUUAUUUCUGUAAUCCGGAUUGACCCGUCAGUGUAGAUUUGUAGGUGGCCUCCCCGUAGUUGACACAUCCGGGCGUUUAUUUCCUUCGCUACAGCCUCUGACAUCUUUCUUUUGCUUGUUUCCAUAAAAUAUAGGUCAACAUUGGGAUCAACCAUGAAGGUAUAUCUGGAGGACAUGCAUUCAAAUUCACGAUACCAGUUUACUGCUAUAGAUUUGAGUUUUUCUGUAAAGUUUGUUUUGAUCCUUCUUGCUGUUCCCAUGAACUCCCAAUGCUGCCUCAGCAGGCUUUUUGUUGGUGGUUUUCCAUCCCGUCCUGAAAUGGAAAUCUGUCCUUUAGUGAGUCUUCUGAAAUAAAGAGUCCAAUCCAGA